GAGAUUAGUCGGAUAACUGCUCUUAUUAUAAGAGAGGAAAGUCCGAACUCCGCAGGAUGAAGAUGCCUCGUAAUGUGAGGGCCUAAUUAUUUAGGUAGGAAAGUGCAGCAGAAAGUAUACCGCCUUUUAUAGGUAAGGGUGAAAAGGAAGUGUAAGAGACUCCCAGGAAUAAUCUAAAGAUUAUUUGCUAUGCAAACCCCAUCUGGAGCAAGAUCAAGCAAUCAUGUGUGAUCCGCACAAAAUGAUGGGUAGAUCGCAAGAGCUAAAUUGUGAAAUUUAGCCAAGAUGAAUAGUUAUCUACUUACAAUGUAAGUAACAGAAUUCGGCUUAUAGACUAAUCUCUAAA
rnacentral:RNase_P_RNA from 1 species